CCAGACUCCUACGGGAGGCAGCAGUGAGGAAUAUUGGUCAAUGGACGCAAGUCUGAACCAGCCAAGUAGCGUGCAGGAUGACGGCCCUCCGGGUUGUAAACUGCUUUUAGUUGGGAAUAAAAGGGGGCUCGUGAGCCCCGUAUUGUAUGUACCAUCAGAAAAAGGACCGGCUAAUUCCGUGCCAGCAGCCGCGGUAAUACGGAAGGUCCGGGCGUUAUCCGGAUUUAUUGGGUUUAAAGGGUGCGUAGGCGGGAUGCCAAGUCAGCGGUAAAAUACGGGGGCUCAACCUGCGUCCGCCGUUGAAACUGGCGUUCUUGAGUGGGCGAGAAGUACGCGGAAUGCGUGGUGUAGCGGUGAAAUGCAUAGAUAUCACGCAGAACCCCGAUUGCGAAGGCAGCGUACCGGCGCCCAACUGACGCUGAAGCACGAAAGCGUGGGUAUCGAACAGGAUUAGAUACCCUCGUAAC
rnacentral:rRNA from 1 species